rnacentral:rRNA from 1 species
GUGGGGAAUUUUGGACAAUGGGCGCAAGCCUGAUCCAGCCAUUCCGCGUGCAGGAUGAAGGCCUUCGGGUUGUAAACUGCUUUUGUACGGAACGAAAAGCCUCUGGUUAAUACCCGGGGGUCAUGACGGUACCGUAAGAAUAAGCACCGGCUAACUACGUGCCAGCAGCCGCGGUAAUACGUAGGGUGCGAGCGUUAAUCGGAAUUACUGGGCGUAAAGCGUGCGCAGGCGGUUUUGUAAGACAGUGGUGAAAUCCCCGGGCUCAACCUGGGAACUGCCAUUGUGACUGCAAGGCUAGAGUGCGGCAGAGGGGGAUGGAAUUCCGCGUGUAGCAGUGAAAUGCGUAGAUAUGCGGAGGAACACCGAUGGCGAAGGCAAUCCCCUGGGCCUGCACUGACGCUCAUGCACGAAAGCGUGGGGAGCAAACAGGAUUAGAAACCCCAGUAGUCC